rnacentral:lncRNA from 10 species
GAAGGAUCAGGUGGCAGCAGUCUGUCAUUUAGACCUUAGGACUUAGCCUGGAGAGCUGAGCUGACACAGGGAGCCCCCCAGGCUGACUGCCAUGCCUGUGGGUGGGCCUCUGAGGCUCUCACUGGCUCUAGGCCUUUAGAGAGAGCAGCCAGGGCAGAUGAUUUCAUGGGCAAUGUCUCUGACUGUCUUGGGCAGAUUUGGAAAGUCAGGAGUAACUCACAGUGAUGGCACACCCUGUCACAGCUGGGCUGCGGACCAAUGUACACCCAGACCAAUUCACACUGCACACUUCCAGUCUUCAGCAGCCUGAUGAGGUUAGGACUAUUAUUGUGCCUGUUUUAC